rnacentral:tRNA from 1 species
GGAUAGCUCAGUUGGUUAGAGCAUGCUGCUGAUAAUGCCAAGGAUUCAGGUUUGAUCCCUACACGGGACACCU